GACGAACGCUGGCGGCGUGCUUAACACAUGCAAGUCGAACGGAAAGGCCCUGCUUUUGUGGGGUGCUCGAGUGGCGAACGGGUGAGUAACACGUGAGUAACCUGCCCUUGACUUUGGGAUAACUUCAGGAAACUGGGGCUAAUACCGGAUAGGCGCUCCUGCUGCAUGGUGGGGGUUGGAGAGUUUCGGCGGUUGGGGAUGGACUCGCGGCUUAUCAGCUUGUUGGUGGGGUAGUGGCUUACCAAGGCUUUGACGGGUAGCCGGCCUGAGAGGGUGACCGGCCACAUUGGGACUGAGAUACGGCCCAGACUCCUACGGGAGGCAGCAGUGGGGAAUAUUGCACAAUGGGCGGAAGCCUGAUGCAGCAACGCCGCGUGCGGGAUGACGGCCUUCGGGUUGUAAACCGCUUUCGCCUGUGACGAAGCGUGAGUGACGGUAAUGGGUAAAGAAGCACCGGCUAACUACGUG
rnacentral:rRNA from 1 species